AUACGGAGGGUGCAAGCGUUAAUCGGAAUUACUGGGCGUAAAGCGUACGUAGGCGGUUAAUUAAGUCAGAUGUGAAAGCCCCGGGCUUAACUUGGGAACUGCAUUUGAAACUGGGUAACUAGAGUUUAGUAGAGGGGAGUGGAAUUUCAGGUGUAGCGGUGAAAUGCGUAGAGAUCUGAAGGAACACCAGUGGCGAAGGCGACUCCCUGGACUAAAACUGACGCUGAGGUACGAAAGCGUGGGUAGCAAACAGGAUUAGAUACCCUAGUAGUCC
rnacentral:rRNA from 1 species